UCUGACCAAGGACGCUAACAGUGUUGACAAACCUAAAAGAUGCCCGAAUGGCAACUUCUUUGUUCUCAGGAAUUUGUGGCCAAGGGCACUUGGCUCCGAGCAGAGAGAUCUGGGCUCAGACCCUUACUUUGUGGCUGUGUGUUCUUGGAGUCACUUCGUUUGCCUGAGCGGGUAGAACCCUGAGACACGAGGGAUGCGGGCCCCCUGUUCACCCCAGACUGCCAGCUUCUGUACCUUCAGGUGGUGAGAUGAACGGUUUGGAUUUGCACCUGUGUGUUUGUCUCAAAGAUGUCGAAGGGAGUGCCCCUGCCACCCCCCCAUCACUGUUGCAGCAGCACAGCGGAGACAAGAUAAUUGGCUUUACUAGAGGCUGCACAUUCACGGCAGAGCCAUUAUUCGGGACGCCUGCUGGUGGAGACGCCCCCGCCCCCUUGGGUCCCCUCACAAAGUGCAUCCUGCGCACAGGGCAGUGGACCCCCGCCAGGGCUCUGGGCACCAGCAAUUGUAAAACAGGAAAAAGAGCUCAGUGACCGUAAACAGUACCUGGACGGAAGAAGCUUCUGAAUCAGAUGGACUCAGCUCUGGCCCUGGGGAGGGGCGCCACUUUGGACAGCUUAACCCCCAACUUAACCCCCGAGCUUGUUUUCUCAUCUGUGAAAUGGAGUUGACUUCGAUCUCAUCCACAAACGUCAGGAUCGGAUCAAACAGCGUGAGUUUGACUUUGGUGUUUCUGGGUCCUAACGUGGGGCCUUUUGGCAGUACAGGUCAGCCUUCUGAAAUGAAAUGUUCUUUUCUUUACUCAAAUACUCUUUGAUCCUGGUAGGUCAAAUUCAGCCCCAAGGUGUGGCUUUGGGAAGCACCAGGUGUUUUAAACAUUAGACUAGGGGCGCCUGGGUGGCUCAGUCAGUUAAGCAGCUGACUUUGGCUCAGGUCAUGAUCUCACGAUUUGUAAGU